rnacentral:rRNA from 1 species
UACAGAGGGUGCGAGCGUUGUUCGGAAUUAUUGGGCGUAAAGCGCACGUAGGCGGAUUGCUAAGUCAGGGGUGAAAUCCUGGAGCUCAACUCCAGAACUGCCUUUGAUACUGGCGAUCUCGAGUCCGGGAGAGGUGAGUGGAACUGCGAGUGUAGAGGUGAAAUUCGUAGAUAUUCGCAAGAACACCAGUGGCGAAGGCGGACUCACUGGCCCGGUACUGACGCUGAGGUGCGAAAGCGUGGGGAGCAAACA